GCCUUCUCUGUGGCUGCACCAUAGUUCCAAGGGGGUAAACAAGUGGCUGUCGCUGUUACUUAAUUUGAAGCUAAAGUCUGUCUACCCUGCAAAAGUCAGCUCUAUUUUCAAAAAGAACUUGAUUUUCGGUCUGAAUAAUCCCUUUCUGAAGUGGGCAAUGAACAAGUAAUAGAUUAAUAAAUUAAACUGAAGAGUGAAAAUAAGGCACGGAAGUCACAGGACCCACUUCCUGAAAACAAGUGGAGGAGGUAACUUUCCACCUCUCCUGGCUGCAGAGCUUCACUCUGAAGACUUCCUAUUUCCUGAAUUCAGACCAGCAAUGAUUGCUUCAGAAACUUCUGCUCAUGAGAUGUUACCAUAUAUCUGACCAUGAAUGCAUCCUAUUAAAAACAUUGUGAAUAUUUAUAUAA